rnacentral:misc_RNA from 1 species
UUGAUAAUAAAGUGCGUUCUAUUCUUCUACAUGGUCACCACUUGUGCUAUUCUCAAUAUACCUCAAAAUAUUUUUUGCAUCUGUUUAUUACAAUGAAUAGGCCUACUUCCAACGAGGCUGAGGAACAAAUCAACGAUUCAUCUAAGUUAUUGACUGAAAAUCUGUUGAAGGAAUUGUUUCAGACAGGUUUAGUCAAAGUUUUAGUUCCGCAUGUAACUGGAGUACUGAUAGAUGCACUCGUUGUUAGUGUUACAACCUUCGUUGGUACCCUGGCUCGUGGUCAAGUUGGAGCUUUGAUUGGAGCUGCCACAGGCAUAACAAUCAUAAUUAUACCAAAAGCUAUGGGACAUGGCAACUACAAACCUUUAAUGGCAGUUAUAAAGGAGGACAUGACAGAGGAAGACAGGGAUCGAUUUCUUGAGAUAGUCUGGAAUCAAGGGUUAAAGUAUUGCCUCGGAAAGAAAUACUCUGAGAAUCAGUUAAAGGAUCCAGCUGUAAUGAAUUCAGCUGUAACGGAGUUGAAGAAGAAUCCAGAAGCAAUAGAAACUAUCGAAAAUGUGGUCAAUCAAGCUCUUGCCGAAAAGAAAAUGAGUUUAGCUAAAACGGAAUGAUCACUUUAGAUUCAAAAUGCCUCUUAUUGAACUGCUCCUACAUAAUUUGUUAUAAAUUGUUAAAUCUGGUUAAAUCAAUAAAGCAUUUUCGAAAGAGAAAAUUGUGCAAAUCUACAUGGAAACGAGUUCGGAUGUCGUCGCACCUCUGCAGUUUGACUCGUGAUGGCUGAGCUCACGGUAGUAACACAAAACAAUCCACCACAGGACAUGAUGAAGACGGUGGAAACACCAUGAGAAACAUUAGCGGUGAACGCCAUGAUAAAGCCAGAGAUUAAAAUGAUUGUGUGAAUAGAUCUCAUCAGCAUGUCGCCCACGAGCCAAGGUACCAGCAGAAUCGAUCGAC